GAUGAACGCUGGCGGCGUGCCUAACACAUGCAAGUCGAACGGAGAUUACGGACGGAAGUUUUCGGAUGGAAGCCUGUAAUUCUUAGUGGCGGACGGGUGAGUAACGCGUGGGCAACCUGCCCUAUACAGGGGGAUAGCAGCUGGAAACGGCUGGUAAGACCGCAUAAGUCGGUUAAAUCGCAUGAUUUGAUCGGGAAAUGAGCAAUCAGGUAUAGGAUGGGCCCGCGUCCGAUUAGCCAGUUGGCAGGGUAAAAGCCUACCAAAGCGACGAUCGGUAGCCGGACUGAGAGGUCGGACGGCCACAUUGGGACUGAGACACGGCCCAAACUCCUACGGGAGGCAGCAGUGGGGGAUAUUGCACAAUGGAGGAAACUCUGAUGCAGCGACGCCGCGUGAGUGAAGAAGUAUUUCGGUAUGUAAAGCUCUAUCAGCAGGGAAGAUGAUGACGGUACCUGAAGAAGAAGCCCCGGCUAACUACGUG
rnacentral:rRNA from 1 species